ACAUUGUUCGUCCAGCGGUAGGACAUCUGCUCUCUCAAAGCAGAAGAAAGGUGGUUCGACUCCCCCUACAGUGUA